UGCAAGUCGAACGGGUGGAGCAAUCCACCAGUGGCGGACGGGUGAGUAAGGUAUCGCUAACGUACCCCCGAGCCUGGGAUAGCCGGCCGAAAGGCCGGGUAAUACCAGAUGAGACCCCGGCAGGGCAUCCUGCUGAGCUCAAAGGAGCAAUCCACUCGGGGAGCGGGCGAUAUCGUAUCAGCUAGUUGGCGGGGUAACGGCCCACCAAGGCUAUGACGCGUAGCUGGUCUGAGAGGACGGCCAGCCACAUCGGGACUGAGACACUGCCCGGACUCCUACGGGGGGCUGCAGUAACGAAUCUUCCGCAAUGCACGAAAGUGUGACGGAGCGACGCCGCGUGGAGGACGAAGUCCUUCGGGAUGUAAACUCCUGUCAGGGGUUACCAAGUUCUGAGGAGCCCCAGAGGAAGGCACGGCUAACUCUGUGCCAGCAGCCGCGGUAAGACAGAGGUGCCGAGCGUUAGGCGGAAUCACUGGGCUUAAAGCGUGUGUAGGCGGGUCGUUAAGUGUCUUGUGAAAUCCCACCGCUCAACGGUGGAACGGCUGGGCAUACUGGCGAUCUUGAGAGACCUAGGGGCAGAUGGAACAAGCGGUGGAGCGGUGAAAUGCGUAGAUAUCGCUUGGAACGCCAACGGUGAAAACAGUCUGCUGGGGGUCUUCUGACGCUGAGACACGAAAGCCAGGGGAGCGAACGGGAUUAGAUACCCCGGUAGUCCUGGCCCUAAACGAUGUCCACUAGGUCAUGGCGCCCUCUGACGGGCUUCAUGGCCGAAGCAAAAGUGCU
rnacentral:rRNA from 1 species